UACGAAGGGGGCUAGCGUUGUUCGGAUUUACUGGGCGUAAAGCGCACGUAGGCGGAUUGUUAAGUCAGGGGUGAAAUCCUGGAGCUCAACUCCAGAACUGCCUUUGAUACUGGCGAGCUUGAGUUCGGGAGAGGUGAGUGGAACUGCGAGUGUAGAGGUGAAAUUCGUAGAUAUUCGCAAGAACACCAGUGGCGAAGGCGGCUCACUGGCCCGAUACUGACGCUGAGGUGCGAAAGCGUGGGGAGCAAACAGG
rnacentral:rRNA from 1 species